rnacentral:rRNA from 1 species
AGGGUGUAAACGCUGCAGACUUGGUGUUGGAAAUCCUUCGAGGGUAUUCAGUGCCGGAGAGAAGUUGUUAAGUCUGCUACUUGGGAGUACGUCCGCAAGGAUGAAACUUAAAGGAAUUGGCGGGGGAGCACCGCAACGGGAGGAGCGUGCGGUUUAAUUGGAUUCAACACCGUAAAACUCACCAGGGAAGACUGUUACAUGAAGGCCGAGAUGAAGACUCUGCUAGAUUUUCAGAGAGGAGGUGCAUGGCGUCAGUGACU